rnacentral:lncRNA from 1 species
CUCGAGGAUGAAUCAGAAGCUAGAGCCAUGGUUAAUUAAUUAUUUGAAACAGCCAAGUUAACACCCAUGUACAUGUAGUAUACUGCUAGUACUGGAUAAGCAUGGGUCGCCGGAGGCCAUUGCUUUUCCGGCCGGCGGAUCUCCCUGGCGAGGCCGAAUCAUUCGGGUUUUUUUUACUUUGAGAAGAGGCCGAAUCAUUCGUGGGCCGCGUUGUUGGGGCACGACCGCACGAGUCGUUUCGACCAUGAUUUAGGUGGGCUGUCCCACCGGCCUGGUCCAUUGAACGAGAGAACUCUAUGACGAGUAUGGCGGAGAAGUCCACAAGACCACAAGCAGCACGUUUGCGCGAGCACCACACAGCAGAGUUCAUAGCUUGAUGCUGCUCCUAGCAUUGAUCCGAAUUGACGGGUAGGGUAGAUCCGCUCAUCACGGUCUUAGGCUCCGUUUUUUUUAAUCCAUUUUUCAUUAUUUUGUGUUUAGCUAACCAAUUUUUUUCUAUUUUUAUGUGUUUUGUCACAGCAGAUUGUAAAAUAAGUUCAGCGCAACUGAUAACCAUUAUCAUCAUCGAUCGAGUACAGAAGCUUAUGAGACGUUAUUCAAUAGCCCCCCCCCCCACCCCCCACACAUGCACACCCACACACACCCCAAAGUCAUCGGGUUCCAGGGUGGGACGGCUUAAGUCAGGCCCUGGUUGGUAUAGUCCGCCGGAAGCCCAUAUGCAAGUCUUGCAUAACCACGUAGUCACAUACGUAUUUGUGUAUGGCAUUCAGGUAACCUGCCCGCGUUUGAAGAAAGAAAAAAAAACAGAACAUAAAUGGCUCGAUCUAUGCCACGAAUCACGCUCGUGAUACACAUUCCUGGCUGGAAGUUUCCAAAAAAUCUUGCGGUGGCCUCCAUCUGCGCUCCUGUCCGGCGCUCGUUGUCGUCCGUGACGUACCCGACUCCACCUCGCCAUCCUUCAAUUCCACCUUCCCGACGACGGCUUUCUUCUCCUCUGCCAUGACGUAGUUUGCUCCGCGUGUUCACUUCAUUGCCGGAGGUGGUUAUGCGGCC